rnacentral:rRNA from 1 species
GAGUUUGAUCCUGGCUCAGAUUGAACGCUGGCGGCAGGCUUAACACAUGCAAGUCGAACGGUAACAUGAGUGCUUGCACUUGAUGACGAGUGGCGGACGGGUGAGUAAGGUAUGGGGAUCUGCCGAAUGGAGGGGGACAACAGUUGGAAACGACUGCUAAUACCGCAUAAAGUUGAGAGACCAAAGCAUGGGACUUACGGGCCAUGCGCCAUUCGAUGAACCCAUAUGGGAUUAGCUAGUUGGUAGGGUAAUGGCUUACCAAGGCGACGAUCUCUAGCUGGUCUGAGAGGAUGACCAGCCACACUGGAACUGAGACACGGUCCAGACUCCUACGGGAGGCAGCAGUGGGGAAUAUUGCACAAUGGGGGGAACCCUGAUGCAGCCAUGCCGCGUGUAUGAAGAAGGCCUUCGGGUUGUAAAGUACUUUCGGUAACGAGGAAGGUGGUGUAUCUAAUAGGUGCAUCAAUUGACGUUAAUUACAGAAGAAGCACCGGCUAACUCCGUGCCAGCAGCCGCGGUAAUACGGAGGGUGCGAGCGUUAAUCGGAAUGACUGGGCGUAAAGGGCAUGUAGGCGGAUAAUUAAGUUAGGUGUGAAAGCCCUGGGCUCAACCUAGGAAUUGCACUUAAAACUGGUUAACUAGAGUAUUGUAGAGGAAGGUAGAAUUCCACGUGUAGCGGUGAAAUGCGUAGAGAUGUGGAGGAAUACCGGUGGCGAAGGCGGCCUUCUGGACAGAUACUGACGCUGAGAUGCGAAAGCGUGGGGAGCAAACAGGAUUAGAUACCCUGGUAGUCCACGCUGUAAACGAUGUCGAUUUGGAGUUUGUUGCCUAGAGUGAUGGGCUCCGAAGCUAACGCGAUAAAUCGACCGCCUGGGGAGUACGGCCGCAAGGUUAAAACUCAAAUGAAUUGACGGGGGCCCGCACAAGCGGUGGAGCAUGUGGUUUAAUUCGAUGCAACGCGAAGAACCUUACCUGGUCUUGACAUCCACAGAAUCUUGCAGAGAUGCGAGAGUGCCUUCGGGAACUGUGAGACAGGUGCUGCAUGGCUGUCGUCAGCUCGUGUUGUGAAAUGUUGGGUUAAGUCCCGCAACGAGCGCAACCCUUAUCCUUUGUUGCCAUUGGUUCGGCCGGGAACUCAAAGGAGACUGCCGUUGAUAAAGCGGAGGAAGGUGGGGACGACGUCAAGUCAUCAUGGCCCUUACGACCAGGGCUACACACGUGCUACAAUGGCGUAUACAAAGGGAGGCGA